AGUUGAUCAUGGCUCAGGACGACGCUGGCGGCACGCCUAACACAUGCAAGUCGAACGGAGAUUUGAGAGCUUGCUCUUAAAUCUUAGUGGCGGACGGGUGAGUAACACGUGAGCAACCUGCCUCUGAGAGAGGGAUAGCUUCUGGAAACGGAUGGUAAUACCUCAUAACAUAGCUGGACCGCAUGAUCCGGUUAUCAAAGAUUUAUCACUCAGAGAUGGGCUCGCGUCUGAUUAGCUAGUUGGUGAGGUAACGGCCCACCAAGGCGACGAUCAGUAGCCGGACUGAGAGGUUGAACGGCCACAUUGGGACUGAGACACGGCCCAGACUCCUACGGGAGGCAGCAGUGAGGGAUAUUGCACAAUGGAGGAAACUCUGAUGCAGCGAUGCCGCGUGGAGGAAGAAGGUUUUCGGAUUGUAAACUCCUGUUUCGAGGGACGAUAAUGACGGUACCUCGGGAGGAAGCUCCGGCUAACUACGUGCCAGCCGCCGC
rnacentral:rRNA from 1 species